rnacentral:rRNA from 1 species
CGCGGGGGGUCGUGUUUCGCCACUCAUCCCGACACCAUUCCCGAGGGAGGCAUAUCGGGGCAUGGCGUCGCGCCGAAGCGAUGCUCGGGCGCUCAUUGUAAAGAGAUCGAUGGUUCGCGGUUGUCCUUUCGGGUCUCGACAAUGAUCCUUUCCGUAGGUGAAC